GCUAAAGACCCAAAAAAGAAACCUUAAUCUGGAAAGAAAUUUAAGGCUAAAGGUUUUAAGAGAAGGCGAGAUUUACAGGUGGAAACAAGAAAACAAACUUCGUUCAAGGAAAAAAGAGCGUAAGUUACGAGGGAGGUUGAGAGAGUAACAAAAUGUGGUUUAAGUUUGUUAUGAAAACAAAAAACAAAAGACAGAGAGAGAGAA